rnacentral:tRNA from 1 species
GCGCCCGUAGCUCAGUUGGAUAGAGCACCUGAUUCCUAAUCAGGGGGUCGUGAGUUCGAAUCUCGCCGGGCGCACCA